rnacentral:rRNA from 1 species
GUACACGCUGUGACUAGCAUAUCAAUAAGCGGAGGAAAAGAAACUAACAAGGAUUCCCCUAGUAACGGCGAGUGAAGCGGGAAGAGCUCAAAUUUGAAAUCUUAAAGGGUUUCCCUUUACGAAUUGUAGUUUAAAGAAGUGUUUUCUGUUGAGGUUUUGGUAAAAGUUCUUUGGAAUAGGACAUCAUAGAGGGUGAGAAUCCCGUAUUUGACCUUUACUUUCAACUUUGUGAUACACUUUCAAAGAGUCGGAUUGUUUGGGAAUGCAGUCCAAAAUGGGUGGUAAAUUUCAUCUAAAGCUAAAUAUUGGCGAGGAGACCGAUAGCGAACAAGUACCGUGAGGGAAAGAUGAAAAGAACUUUGAAAAGAGGUUAAAGCAGUACGUGAAAUUGUCAAAAGGGAAGCGUUUGACACCAGUGUUGUUUUUCUGAAAAUCAAUUAAAGAACUGUUUAUGCUAAGCUGUUUAGACUUUAUCAGCUAACUGUUUAGUUUUGAGCUUUUCUUUAAUGCACUUUUCAGUUAACAAGUCAACAUCAAUUUCUUUUGCUGUAAAAAAGCUUGAGGAAGGUGGCUUGAGAUUCGUCUUAAGUGUUUAUAGCCUCUUGCCUAUGCAGUCGGAGAGAUUGAGGUCUGCAGCGUAGAUCCUUCGGGGCUAAAUGCAUUUGUGCUAAGUUAUAGCAUUUUAUAGACAACUUGUUGACUAUGAUUUGUCUUGUAGCUUACUCGCUUAUGUUAUUUUACCUACGCUUAGGAUGUUGAAGAUGUAGCACAUCAU